GACGAACGCUGGCGGCGUGCUUAACACAUGCAAGUCGAACGGAAAGGCCCUGCUUUUGUGGGGUGCUCGAGUGGCGAACGGGUGAGUAACACGUGAGUAACCUGCCCUUGACUUUGGGAUAACUUCAGGAAACUGGGGCUAAUACCGGAUAGGAGCUCCUGCUGCAUGGUGGGGGUUGGAAAGUUUCGGCGGUUGGGGAUGGACUCGCGGCUUAUCAGCUUGUUGGUGGGGUAGUGGCUUACCAAGGCUUUGACGGGUAGCCGGCCUGAGAGGGUGACCGGCCACAUUGGGACGGAGAUACGGCCCAGACUCCUACGGGAGGCAGCAGUGGGGAAUAUUGCACAAGGGGCGGAAGCCUGAUGCAGCAACGCCGCGUGCGGGAUGACGGCCUUCGGGUUGUAAACCGCUUUCGCCUGUGACGAAGCGUGAGGGACGGUAAUGGGUAAAGAAGCACCGGCUAACUACGU
rnacentral:rRNA from 1 species